AAAGGGUCCGUAGGCGGAUCUGUAAGUCAGUGGUGAAAUCUCACAGCUUAACUGUGAAACUGCCAUUGAUACUGCAGGUCUUGAGUGUUGUUGAAGUAGCUGGAAUAAGUAGUGUAGCGGUGAAAUGCAUAGAUAUUACUUAGAACACCAAUUGCGAAGGCAGGUUACUAAGCAACAACUGACGCUGAUGGACGAAAGCGUGGGGAGCGAACAGGAUUAGAUACCCUAGU
rnacentral:rRNA from 1 species